rnacentral:rRNA from 1 species
GACGAACGCUGGCGGCGUGCUUAACACAUGCAAGUCGAACGGAGUGGCGAACGGGUGAGUAACACGUGGGUGACCUGCCCUGCACUUCGGGAUAAGCCUGGGACACUGGGUCUACUACCGGAUAGUGUGGGAUGGGCCAGCGGCCUAUCAGCUUGUUGGUGGGGUAAUGGCCUACCAAGGCGGCGACGGGGAGCCGGCCUGGGAGGGUGGACGGCCAAAUAGGGACUGAGUCACGGCCCAGAGUGCUACGGGAGGCAGCAGGGGGGAAUAUUGCACAAGGGGGGGAAGCCUGAUGCAGCGACGCGUCGUGGGGGAUGACGGCAUGCGGGUUGUAAACUCCUUUCACCAUCGACGCGGUAGAUGGAGAAGAAGCACCGGCUAACUACGUGCCAGCAGCCGCGGUAAUUC